AUGCGUCGCGGCGGCCAUGGUCUCGCGCAGCGCCCCCGCCGCGGCGGCCAAGUCUAUCGGCCUCGCGCCGCGCUCCCGCCGCUCGCCCCAGGAAGGGCUCCAGCAGCCAACCGACCGCAGGCCCCUGUGCUGCCGCCUGCCGCAGGAGGCAAUCGGCCCCCAGCGCCUACGCCGACCGCCUCCGCCGUCAACCCGCGGCCGCUCGCCCCAACCAGGAACACGCUGUCUGCGGCCGGUGCUCUCGGGGGCAGCUCCCAUGGCGGCAUUCCCCUGCUCCCGCAGGCCCCAGCCAACAGCUCUCUCCCCACCAACAGCCAGCCCCCGCCCAGUGUCGGCGUCUCUGGAGGCCCGUCGCAGGGAUGCGGCAAUCCAUCGCUGCCAGCAGCCCAAUCCUCUGGAAGCAUCAAGAAGAAAAAAGGGAAGUGCAAAAAGUGCUCAGAUCCGGGUCAUGUCAUUGAAGAUUGUCCGAAGUUACCAUGUCUACGUUGCACAGGAACUAGACACACCAGGGGCAACUGCACUACCCCUGCCGGGCCAGUGUGUUUCCGGUGUUGCGACAUUGGUCACUAUUUGAAGGAUUGUGUGAGCCAAGUUUAUGGCGGACGAUGUAAGACAUGCGGCGGGGCCGGGCAUGGUGAUCCCAAUAAUCUGAAGCACAAUAUCAAUUGCGCCAGCCCUCCAAUACUUCUUCUGUGUACAUCGUGUAACAACCCUGGACACCGGCCACGUGAUUGUCCUCAAAAGUCAACCCUGGACAUCGCUUUUCAGUUCCAGAUAAACCAGUUUAUGGGUGUUCAAUUGUAUCACCGUAGAAGUUUGAUUUUAAUAAACCUUUUCCCUCCAUAUAGGGAUUAA
rnacentral:rRNA from 1 species